AUAUACUCUACAUCAGAUGAUGUCUGCAUCAUGAAGACAGGGCUUGUCUCUGAACUGUAGAUUGCAGAGCAGCGGACAGGUAUGGUAAACAGCCAAUCACAUUCCUAAGACACAGACUAUGGAGGACUGUCCACAGGAUCGAGAGGAUGAAGAGACCACUCUCAGGGCAGUAAAAGGCAAGGAAGAUUUUCUCUUUUUUUCAGAGACAGGGUCUUGCUCUGUUCACAUGCACCUUUUAUUUUUUGUAGAGAGGGGAUUUCACUGUGUUAUCCAGGCUGGUCUUGAGCACCAAGGCUCAAGUGAUCCUCCUGCCAAAAGUGCUGAGAUUACAGAAGUGACCCACGGAGCCCAAUCAAGGCAUAGAUGUUUUAAGGAGAAACUGACUUCAGGAAAUCCAGCCUGUAAUCCCAGCUACUUGAGAGGCUGAGGUGGGAGGAUCACUUGAGACCAGGUGUUGGAGUUCAGCCUGGGCAACAUAGCAAGACCUUGUCUCUAUAAAAAAAGGAAAAGAAAAUUCAAACUACCAAGCAAUUUGCAAAUUUGAUGCUAACGAGCUGCAAACAAACACCCCAAGGGGAGCCAUAACAGACAGCCAGGGCCCAAGCGCUGGGGAUCCCCGUGCGGAGGGGCCCUCUCUACCUCGGCUUUCAGCACGUGCAUCAGGUUGCCCUUCUCCAUGUACUCCAUCACCAGGGAGUACUUCCCUUCCUCUAUGAUGACGCCCAGGAGCUUCACCACCCGGCUGUGUCUCAGUCUGUUCAUCAUCUUCGCCUCCUCCAAGAGGGCCUCGUUGUGCCUGUGGGCAGGAAAGGUGCUAUGCUGAGGCUGGCAGAGCCAGCGCCUCAAGAGCCUGGUGCACACCUCCAACACAUCACUCCCACGUGCUGGGGUCAUGCUUGGGUCUGUACCGAUCUCUUCCAGGCACAGGCCAGAAGCGUUAGAAGGCAGAGCGGUUUCUCACUUCCUCACAGUACUCCUGCCCAGUAACUGGCAGUGCAUGCUCCAAAAAUGUAAAUCAAUGAAGGAAUGAAUGAAUCAAUGAAUGAAAAGUACAUGAACAGCAGCAAGGUAACCUGAAAAAAGACCGUGCUGGACAGAACGAUUAAAAAAAAAAAAAACAGCCUCUCUCAAAACCACUCUGACAAAGGAGGGAGAGAGGUGAAACCACUCUACUGGUUGCUUUAAAGGGAAGGCUCUCAGAACCUCUCAGGAAUGAACUGCCUUUUCAUUUUUAUACUUAGGGCUGGUCCUCACUGAAAAUGUGAAGCGAGUGAAUAGGUCUGUCUUCACCCAUCCUCCUGUUUCCUUUUCAUUGUCCCCCCACCACACUUAUCUCUUUGUCUUUCUCUAUUUCCUUCUUGUUCAUGUCUCUUCUGUUACUUACCAGCUGUGAGAGUCCUUCACUACCCAGUCUCAGAGUCCACAUCAGCGACAAUAACAAUCCGAAGAGCCAUCGUCACCCUGACAUCUUGGCAGGCUCCCUCUCACUCUACCCACCAACGGCUCCGCAGCAGCCAACGGCUCCACAACAGCCAACGUCCCCAUCCCGCUCAGAACUUAGCCCACCCACCCCUGCUCCCUACUCACUCAAUGCAGUUGGGCCCCUUGUACACUGUUUUCAUGAUCAUGAGUCCCUGGGUUCUGUGGAAACACAGAGACACCUUCCCAAAGCCUCCGCUGUCCAGUUCUGCACUCUCCAGGAAGUCACUGGAUUUCAUCUUAAUGACAUUCAAGGACAUGUCUGGUUGCAUUCUGAAGCUCAAGAACGCCCAAAAUGGUACCACUUUUUCCCCCCCCGGCAGAGCUGUACCCUGUAA
rnacentral:lncRNA from 1 species